GGCUUGUUGAUUAUAAUUUUAGGUCGGGCCUGCCCAAUGAAUGAUUAAAUGGCCGCGGUAUAUUGACCGUGCAAAGGUAGCAUAAUCAUUAGUUUUUUAAUUGAAAGCUUGUAUGAAAGGUUAGAUGAGAGAAUUACUGUCUCUAAAAAAAUUUUGUGGAAUUUUAUUUUUAAGUGAGAAAGCUUAAAUAUUAAUAGAAGACGAGAAGACCCUAUAGAGUUUUAUAUUUGUAAAAGUAAUUAAUAUUUUAGGGUUUUAUUUAUAAAUUUUUACAAUUAUUUGGUUGGGGUGAUUAGAAAAUUAAAGUAACUUUUCUUUAUUUAAACAUUUAUUUAUGAAUUUGUGAUCCUUGAAUUAAGAUUUAAAGAUUAAACUACCUUAGGGAUAACAGCGUAAUCUCUUUUAGAGUUCUAAUCGAAAAGGAGGAUUGCGACCUCGAUGUUGGAUUAAAAUUUAUUGUUGGUGUAGAAGCUUAUGAGUUAGGUCUGUUCGACCUUUAAAAUUUUACAUGAUCUGAGUUUAAACCGGUGUGAG
rnacentral:rRNA from 1 species